GACGAACGCUGGCGGCGUGCUUAACACAUGCAAGUCGAACGAAGUGGCGAACGGGUGAGUAACGCGUAAUCAACCUGCCCUUCAGAGGGGGACAACAGUUGGAAACGACUGCUAAUACCGCAUACGGAAGGAGGGGAUUGCGUGUGAUUGGGUAGUUGGAGGGGUAAGGGCCCACCAGGGCGAGGAGCAGUAGCAGGUCUGAGAGGAGGAACGGCCACAUGGGGACGGAGACACUGCCCAGACUCCUACGGGAGGCAGCAGUGGGGAAUCUUCCGCAAUGGACGAAAGUCUGACGGAGCAACGCCGCGUGAGUGAUGACGGCCUUCGGGUUGUAAAGCUCUGUUAAUCGGGACGCGGUACCGGAAUAGAAAGCCACGGCUAACUACGUGCCAGCAGCCGCGGUAAUUC
rnacentral:rRNA from 1 species